rnacentral:rRNA from 1 species
GAUUAACGCUGGCGGCGUGCAUAACACAUGCAAGUCGAACGAUGAAACUUUACUGACUUCUUCGGAAAGAUUUAAAGCAGAUUAGUGGCGGACGGGUGAGUAACGCGUGAGUAACCUGCCUUACACAAGGGGAUAGCCGUUGGAAACGACGAAUAAUACCCUAUGAAACUAUCACUUCGCAUGAAGCGAUAGUCAAAGUGUUAGCGGUGUAAGAUGGACUUGCGUCUGAUUAGCUAGUUGGUGAGAAAAAAGCCCACCAAGGCAACGAUCAGUAGCCGGCUUGAGAGAGUGUACGGCCACAUUGGGACUGAGACACGGCCCAGACUCCUACGGGAGGCAGCAGUGGGGAAUUUUGCACAAUGGGGGAAACCCUGAUGCAGCGACGCCGCGUGAUUUAGAAGGCCUUCGGGUUGUAAAAAUCUUUUGUAUAGGAAGAAAAUGACAGUACUAUACGAAUAAGGUCCGGCUAAUUACGUGCCAGCCGCCGCCGUAACAC